AGAGGUCCCUCCUUCCUAAUUUCCAUCAAUUAAUAAUUAUUUCAUUUCCAUUCCAGUUACACGGAACAACAAUUACACUAAAAAGAAACCUUCCAUGAAUUUAAUUAAAACUAGUAAAUAAAUAUAGUAUAAUUACCCAAUAAUACCAAUAAUGCUUCUACGUUUCCUUUCUCUCUACACACGGCUUCUCCCUCUCCCUUUUCCACUCUCCUUCUCCUCUGCCAUUUCCUGUGUAGGCUUGUGUUGUUGAAGGAGACAAAUGAGUUCUCAAAAUUCAAUUUCUAAAGUCAAAAGGACUGUUAAUUUUCGAUUAUGCAAUGUGUCCAGGUAUAUUGUUUCUUAAUUUUUUUAUUUUAUCUUCUUGCUGUGAUAGUUUAUGCUUUUUAUUUAUUUGAUGAUUUUGUACUCAGUUACAAAACUGAGUUGCUAGAGAUUCGCUCUGAUGACCCUAAAUUGCAUGUUCUCUUUAUCCCUGGAAAUCCUGGUGUUGUUUCAUUUUAUAAGGAUUUUUUGGAAUCAUUAUACGAGUUGCUAGGAGGAACUGCAUCUGUCACAGGCUUGUUUUGCAUUGGUCAACAGCUAUUGGACACAUAUCUCACACAAAAAAAGAACUGGGAGCGUGGAAGGCUGUUCUCAUUACAACAACAAAUUGAUCACAAGGUGGAUUUCAUUGAACAAGAGCGGAAAACUAUUGGGGUUCCUAUAGUGCUGGUUGGGCAUUCUAUUGGUUCCUACAUAUCCAUUGAAACGCUAAGGAGGUCUCCUGAGGUUAAGUAUUUUAUAGGACUAUAUCCGUUUCUAAUGCUGAAUCCUUUAUCAGAGAAGCAGACUAAGAUAAAGAAACUUGCAGAGUCCUCUAUUCGGUCGGAUUUGCUUAGUUUCAGUAUAGCAUCAUUGGGUGUGUUACCUAGGUGUAUUUCAAGAAUAAUUGUGUCAAAUUCUAUUGGAAAAUCAUGGUCUGCUACUGCUGUUGAUGCUGCUUGUAGUCAUUUGCUACAGUACCAUUCGUUUCGGAAUAUGAUCUUUAUGGCACUGACAGAAUUCAGAAAGGUACACAUAUGCUGCUUCUACUCCAGCAAAAGAUUUUAGCGGACAGCAAUGUUUGCAUGAGAUUGCUGAAGUAUGUCUGUCAUCCUGUCUUAACGGUUGUUCUUUCAUGUUAGCUUUCUGAAACACCAAAUUGGGAAUUCAUGAGAGAAAAUCAGAGUAAAAUGGCAUUCUUGUUUGGUGUCGAUGAUCACUGGGGUCCACUGGAGAUGUUUGAAGAGAUUGCAAAGCAGGUACCUGGCAUUACUCUAUCGAUCGAAAGGGAAGGCCAUACUCAUAGUUUCUGUUGCACUGAGGCAGGUUCAUCAUGGGUGGCACAGCACGUAGCAAACUUGAUAAAGAAUCAAAUAUUAGGCUCAUGCUAGUAUGCUGUUUAUUUUGCCAUAUUUUUUAUAAUUCAAGUGAUUGAUCUCAUGAUUGCUGGGCAAUUAGGUCGCAGAUGAUCAUUAUCUCCCAUUCUUUUAUAUUAACAUUUUAAAAUAAACCAUCUUCCUGUAAGUUAGUAUUGCAUUUUGGUUUGUAUUUUCUGGAAAUUGAAUCCAUUUGUAUAUUUCUGUGUAGGAUUGUGGAAAUAUGGAUGUUUUUUAUUUAUUUAUUUGUUAUCUUGAACAUGGAAA